rnacentral:rRNA from 1 species
AGGCUUUGAUCCUGGCUCAGGAUGAACGCUAGCGGCAGGCCUAACACAUGCAAGUCGAGGGGCAGCGCGAUGUAGCAAUACAUUGGCGGCGACCGGCGCACGGGUGCGUAACACGUAUGGAACCUGCCCUCUACUGGGAGAUAGCCCGGAGAAAUCCGGAUUAAUAUCCCAUAACAGCCCGGGUGGCAUCACCUGGUCUUGAAAGCUCCGGCGGUAGAGGAUGGCCAUGCGCCCGAUUAGCUAGUAGGUGAGGUAACGGCUCACCUAGGCUACGAUCGGUAGGGGGCCUGAGAGGGUUAUCCCCCACACUGGUACUGAGACACGGACCAGACUCCUACGGGAGGCAGCAGUGAGGAAUAUUGCGCAAUGGAGGCAACUCUGACGCAGCCAUGCCGCGUGCAGGAAGACGGCCCUACGGGUUGUAAACUGCUUUUAUCAGGGAAGAAACCCCGGGACGUGUCCAGGGUUGACGGUACCUGAGGAAUAAGCACCGGCGUA